rnacentral:rRNA from 1 species
UACGUAGGGUGCAAGCGUUGUCCGGAAUUAUCGGGCGUAAAGAGCUCGUAGGCGGUCUGUCGCGUCGGCUGUGAAAACCCGGGGCUCAACCCCGGGCCUGCAGUCGAUACGGGCAGACUAGAGUGCGGUAGGGGAGACUGGAAUUCCUGGUGUAGCGGUGAAAUGCGCAGAUAUCAGGAGGAACACCGGUGGCGAAGGCGGGUCUCUGGGCCGUAACUGACGCUGAGGAGCGAAAGCCAGGGGAGCAAACGGG